UACGUAGGGUGCAAGCGUUGUCCGGAAUUAUUGGGCGUAAAGAGCUCGUAGGCGGUUUGUUGCGUCGGCUGUGAAAUCCCGAGGCUCAACCUCGGGUCUGCAGUCGAUACGAGCAAACUAGAGUGUUGCAGGGGAGACUGGAAUUCCUGGUGUAGCGGUGAAAUGCGCAGAUAUCAGGAGGAACACCGGUGGCGAAGGCGGGUCUCUGGGAAGUAACUGACGCUGAGAAGCGAAAGCAUGGGUAGCAAACAGG
rnacentral:rRNA from 1 species